CCUACGGGUGGCUGCAGUGGGGAAUAUUGGGCAAUGGGCGCAAGCCUGACCCAGCAACGCCGCGUGAAGGAAGAAGGCUUUCGGGUUGUAAACUUCUUUUAAGGGGGAAGAGGAGAAGACGGUACCCCUUGAAUAAGCCACGGCUAACUACGUGCCAGCAGCCGCGGUAAUACGUAGGUGGCAAGCGUUGUCCGGAUUUACUGGGUGUAAAGGGCGUGCAGCCGGGAGGACAAGUCAGAUGUGAAAUCCCGCGGCUCAACCGCGGAACUGCAUUUGAAACUGUUUUUCUUGAGUACCGGAGAGGUCAUCGGAAUUCCUUGUGUAGCGGUGAAAUGCGUAGAUAUACGGAGGAACACCAGUGGCGAAGGCGGCCUGCUGGACAUUAACUGACGCUGAGGCGCGAAAGCGUGGGGAGCAAACAGGAUUAGAUACCCGUGUAGUC
rnacentral:rRNA from 1 species